rnacentral:lncRNA from 1 species
UUUUAUUAACAAAUAAAAUAAUCAAAUGAAUACAUGAAAUAGAUAUUCAACCAAAAAAAAAAGGGAAAACAUCACUCAUUUAAUCCCAAAACCAAUUAGAAUAUCAAGAAAAAAAACUCAAAUUUGGAAUUAUGAAAAAAGAAAACCCCAAAUCUGUAACAACUUUCUUUGCUUACAAGAAACUACAACAAUGGGAUCUAACAACCAACCCUUCAAUCCUUCAAAAU